rnacentral:rRNA from 1 species
CCUACGGGUGACAGCAGUGAGGAAUAUUGGUCAAUGGACGAGAGUCUGAACCAGCCAAGUAGCGUGAAGGAUGACUGUCCUAUGGGUUGUAAACUUCUUUUAUAUGGGAAUAAAAUGUUCCACGUGUGGGAUUUUGUAUGUACCAUAUGAAUAAGGAUCGGCUAACUCCGUGCCAGCAGCCGCGGUAAUACGGAGGAUCCGAGCGUUAUCCGGAUUUAUUGGGUUUAAAGGGAGCGUAGGUGGAUUGUUAAGUCAGUUGUGAAAGUUUGCGGCUCAACCGUAAAAUUGCAGUUGAAACUGGCAGUCUUGAGUACAGUAGAGGUGGGCGGAAGUCGUGGUGUAGCGGUGAAAUGCUUAGAUAUCACGAAGAACUCCGAUUGCGAAGGCAGUUCACUGGACUGCAACUGACACUGAGGCUCGAAAGUGUGGGUAUCAAACAGGAUUAGAUACCCUUGUAGUC